UGGGGGAUAUUGCACAAUGGGCGCAAGCCUGAUGCAGCGACGCCGCGUGGGGGAUGAAGGCCUUCGGGUUGUAAACUUCUUUUGCUCUGAACAAGGCGCACUUUGGGGUGUGUUGAGUGUAGGGGUUGAUUAGCGCCGGCUAACUACGUGCCAGCAGCCGCGGUAAUACGUAGGGCGCGAGCGUUGUCCGGAAUUAUUGGGCGUAAAGGGCUUGUAGGUGGCUGGUUGCGUCUGUCGUGAAAGCUCAUGGCUUAACUGUGGGUUUGCGGUGGGUACGGGCAGGCUUGAGUGCAGUAGGGGAGGCUGGAAUUCCUGGUGUAGCGGUGGAAUGCGCAGAUAUCAGGAGGAAUACCGGUGGCGAAGGCGGGUCUCUGGGCUGUUACUGACACUGAGGAGCGAAAGCAUGGGGAGCGAACAGG
rnacentral:rRNA from 1 species